UACGUAGGGUGCAAGCGUUAUCCGGAAUUACUGGGCGUAAAGAGUGCGUAGGCGGCUUUUUAAGUUAGAUGUUAAAUCCCCGGGCUUAACUCGGGGGCUGCAUCUAAUACUGGGAGGCUUGAGAGUGGAAGAGGCAAGCGGAAUUUCCGGUGGAGCGGUAAAAUGCGUAGAUAUCGGAAAGAACACCAAUGGCGAAGGCAGCUUGCUGGGCCAUUUCUGACGCUGAGGCACGAAAGCGUGGGGAG
rnacentral:rRNA from 1 species